AUUGAACGCUGGCGGCAGGCCUAACACAUGCAAGUCGAGCGGAUGAAGAGAGCUUGCUCUCUGAUUCAGCGGCGGACGGGUGAGUAAUGCCUAGGAAUCUGCCUGGUAGUGGGGGACAACGUUUCGAAAGGAACGCUAAUACCGCAUACGUCCUACGGGAGAAAGUGGGGGAUCUUCGGACCUCACGCUAUCAGAUGAGCCUAGGUACGAUUAGCUAGUUGGUGAGGUAAAGGCUCACCAAGGCGACGAUCGUUAACCGGUCUGGGAGGAUGAUCAGUCACACUGGAACUGAGACACGGUCCAGACUCCUACGGGAGGCAGCAGUGGGGAAUAUUGGACAAUGGGCGAAAGCCUGAUCCAGCCAUGCCGCGUGUGUGAAGAAGGUCUUCGGAUUGUAAAGCACUUUAAGUUGGGAGGAAGGGCAGUAAGUUAAUACCUUGCUGUUUUGACGUUACCGACAGAAUAAGCACCGGCUAACUUCGUGCCAGCAGCCGCCGUAAAAC
rnacentral:rRNA from 1 species